UAGACCCAGACCUGGCAGUUCAGGUGGCCCUAGGAGAAUGUGAGCUCCUUGAAGCUACUGUUAAUAAUUCAGCUAGGAUUCCCAGGACCUAACCCAGGACCUCCCACAACAGAUGACCCCAACUUCACCUGGCAGUCACCUCUCACAGCCUGUUUCUACACUGGUGAAUGCCUUCCUCACAACAAUACCCCAUUCAUGGAGCUGUUGGGAAACUAAAUGGAAAAGAACAUGAGAUGCCUGGAAUUCCGUCUGACCUGCCAUCAAGCGGAGGGCACGGACAGCAGUGCAUGGGGAUCUUGGAGGGUCUGAAUUUCUGCCUAUCACCUUCGCCAGCUCAGGGAUGGUUGUGCACCAGCCUUCAGAGGAGGGGCCAGGGAGAGUUGCAAUCCCAGAUGAAAACGUAUCAGCUGACUUGUUCCAGGUGGCAGGGGUCACGGAUCCAACACGGCCACCCAGAAACCACAUUGCUGUCAUCUGGGCCAGCUUAGAAGCUGGAUGGGGGCCACUGAGGACUCCUGCAUGUCAGUGCCGCCCCUCGGAACAAGGGAAAGGACUGGAAGACAAAGGGCUUCUUGGGGGAGGGUCUGCUGACACUGUGGUCCAGGGUGGUGAGAGAGGAAGCCCUCCAUUCCUCCUGGAGAAGCUAAAAAUGGAGCCUUCAGAUAUACCACUUGGGAGUGCAUUUAGAAGUGACAGUCAAGCUAGUCAAUGACCAGUAAGAGCGGUGACCAGUCAGAGCUAAAGGCUCUUGAAGGACCCCAGUCACAUCAGAAGUGAACCCACUGAUUGCUGGGUUACAGGGAGGAUGGGAGCCCUAAAGGGAGCGGCUGGGGCAGCAUGAGGAAAGGGCACUCAGGGACUCAGGGCAGACUUUCCCUGCCUGGAAGGGGAGUGUGUCAGUAUUUCAACAAGCUGGAUAUCUGUCCUGGCUCUCCUCCUAGCAGCCGCAGGGAGCCCACUGGCUUUCAUCUUCCAUUAAGCAAACGUUGCAGGAAACUCAGGGGGAGUAAUGCUUUGACCUAAGGGGUGAUUCCAUGCUGGACUUAGGGAUCUGGAAGAGGGGUUUUCCUGGUGCAGCAUGGCCCUGGGGGGCCCCUCAAUCACAGUGUCUGUGUGACCAUUUCUUUAGCCCACGUGCCAAUGGCCUGGCCCACAGGGUUUAUCAGUGCUACUAUAGUCACAGGAGUUUCCCCAACCCAGACUUCCUAUAAGAGAGCAAAGCCCACUACACCUUGAGCUUGCCCAGUUUUACCUACAAGUACACAAGUGCUUUGGAGGGGAAAAAAAACUUCAUCCAGACUCUUAGCAAUACAUCAAGGAUACUUGAAUGCAUCUGAAAUAUAAUGAGUAUGUAGCCAUAAAAGACAUGCCUCAUAAGAAUCUUUUGAAGGAAGAAAUAAAACAAAUGAUCCUGCCUUUGUAUCUUGCCUCUCAGAGGCAGCAAUGAGUCCCCUGGUGCUCUCCCCAAAUCACAAUCUCAGGUAUAAAUUACAAUUACUAAUUAGGUUCUUGCACGGGAUGUGCCAUAGUUAAUGCUAAGCAGGUGAACCUCCCACCUUUGGCUUGGCUCCUUCAGACAGUUUCUGUCUCCCCAGGCUUGGUGUGGAGGCAGAGACACCCAGCCGUUCCCACCUGGCACAGCCCACUUCCUGAGAUAAAAUAGGGAAAUACUUCAUUCUUUCCUCUCAGUUCUUCUUGCAGCCAGAGUUGGUCAGGUGACCUUGUUCUGGCCAAUGAGGUAUCAAGAAAAGUCUGAUGGGGCUUCUGGGAAAAUCCUUGCUCUCUCCUAAAAAAGGAAAGAUGAGGAGAGGGUGCUUUUGCCUCUUCCUUUUGUUUACU